CGCAGCGGUCGAUACCACAGAAAAACUGUUCAAACGCUGUGAAAAAAAUACGAACAAGGAAAGAAGAAGGCGAAAACCUCAAAAAUUCAGAUAGCAAAACGUCAAUUUCGAACUAAGUGUACUUGAGGUUGUCAAUGAACUUUUUCCACGGUCGAAAACUUGAAGAGUGAAUAGUGAAAAGUGAUUCCGCAAGGACCUAGUCAAGUGUACUUUGGCGUAGAACCUGAAAGUGUCCCGCGGUGGCGGAGUUUUGCAUUUGCCGUCGCUAAUUGUGCAGCUGACAGUCGGCAAUCAGGAAGGAAAAACUUUUGCUCCGGCCGCCGGUAACGCUUCUUCCGCUUCGAACUUCAUCCAAAUCCGUGACCGAAUCCCGGGAAAUUGUACGCCUGCCAGGCCUCAAGCUGGGCGAUUACCGCAAAAUGACACGUGUCAGGCGCAUUGUGCGCUUGGCCUAAAAGUAUGCUGCAUCAUUAGUGUCUCAACAACGGGCACAACUACACCAACGCCUGCAACUACAACUACAACUACACCAACGAGACAAAGGAUGAACCGUACUGGCUGCAGCUGGGAAAACUGAGAAUGCACGCUCAUUAGGCGGGGCAGACGCGUCGAGCGGGAAAAGCGAACAGCAAAAGCGCAUUGCGAGUUCCUAAGUCAAACGUCGGAAAACAAAACGCCCCUACCAUAAUUAGCAACAACAAACAAGUGGUACAGGGCAACGGGGCGUGGUCGACGCAAGGCGGAAGGACAGCUGGCAAAAGUCAAGGACGAGCUGCCGAAUAAUUCGCGAAGGCAUGACCAUGGGCAGUAACUCCAGUUAUCUCGAGCCCCACCAGACGCCCAAGGCGGACGCAGCGAGCUGAUUUUCACAACUAGACAAAUUGCCAGAGCUCGCAAUUUAUCGCCCGGUGCAGCUGAUAGAUUCGAUUAGCAAUCUGAAAAGCAUAAAGCCAGCGGACCGCAGAGACAACAGCCGGCGGCUUCUUUAAUUUGUCAACCAAACACCAGCCACCCACCGCGCCCAUCGGACUUCCGCUAAAUCCAUCGCCGUAAGCCCACAAACAUCGCGUCAUGCCGGAGCAGGAUAAUUACGAUGAUGAGUUGGUCUCCAGCAAUCCCAACCAAAGGAACUGGCGCGGAAUCCUGAUCGCGCUGCUGGUCAUCAUCAUUGUCCUGGCCCUGAUUGUUACAUCGGUGGUGCUGCUCACGCCCCCCGAUGAGGGACCGCGGGUCAAAGGGCAGCGCAUCAAGCUGCAGGACAUCGUCGAUGGCCUCUUCGUGCCGCAGCACUCCAACGGCAGCUGGAUCGAUGGCGAGGAGUUUCUGUACCAGGACCAUUUGGGUCGCAUCUGUCUGCUGAAUGCAGCCAAUCGCUCGGAACGUGUCCUCAUGUCCAAUGUGACAUUUAAAACCCUGUCACCCUUCACCUUCACCAUAUCGGCGGACAAGCGCUAUCUGCUCCUGGCCCAGAAUGUUGUGAAACUGUUCCGGCACUCGUACUUGGCCCAGUACACGCUCUACGACAUUCAGACCAGCGAGAGCAUCAAGCUGCGCCACAGUCCGCACCAGGAUGAAUGGCCCUACCUGCACUACGCACGAUUUACGCCAGCUGGAAACGCACUGGUCUGGGUCCAGAGCUACGAUAUCUAUUACCGGGAGGAGGUCCGCAGUGCGUCCGUGCAUCGGAUUACCCACGAUGCGGUGCCCGGAGUGGUGUACAACGGCAUUCCCGAUUGGCUGUACGAAGAGGAGAUCCUUCAUGCAAAUAAUGCGAUUUGGAUGUCCGACAAUGGCCAACUGAUGCUAUAUGCCACCUUCAACGACACGCACGUCCAGGAGCAGCACUUCGCCUGGUACGGCACGACGGGUCCGUCCGGCGGAGGAGCAGCAGCUGCAGCGGCAGUCGGCGCUGGAGGAGUAGGAAGCGGGAGCGCUGGAGCGGGCGGCAGUAAUCCGCAUGCCAGCCUGUACCCGGAAAUCAGGUCCUUACGCUACCCCAAGCCGGGCACUCAGAAUCCCACGGUCACCCUACGAGUGGCUGACCUAAAGGAUCCGCUGAAAGUUCACGUCACCGACCUGCAUCCUCCUCAGAUUAUAGCUAAUGAAGAUCACUACUUCAGCAGCGCCAGUUGGGUGAGUCACUCGAAGAUCGCGGUGGUGUGGCUCAAUCGACCGCAGAACAUCUCGGUGGUCAGUGUGUGCAAGGCUCCGUCGUUCCAGUGCAUCGAGACCCACCGGGUGAGCGGAGAUGGACGUGGAUGGGUGGACACUGUCGCAGUGCCGCUGUUUGCCGCCAAUGCCAGCAUCUACGUGGCCAUAUCCCCGCUGCGAGAUGGACUGUUUGGCUAUUUCCGGCACAUUGUGCACGUGGACAUCGACAAGAACCGGGUGCUGCCCCUCACCCAUGGGCCGUACGAAGUGAAUCGAUUGCUGCACUGGGAUCAGUUGGAUAAUUGGAUUUACUUCCUGGGAACUCCGGAGCGUCUUCCGUCGCAGCAGCAUCUGUAUCGCGUAUCCGCCCUGCCGGCCCGCCAAGGUCAGGCCUUGCGCUCUCCCGACUGCCUGACGUGUCCGGCGGUUUCGCAGUGGUCCGACGGCUACGACGAAGGUCACACCAAGUCGCCGCCCAAGUUGGUGACCGCCUGGGACGAUGACUGGGAGGAUUCCGAGGAAGCGGAGGCUCAACCGCCGCAGCCAGCUCUGCCGGUGGAGCAACAGCCUCCGGGGCGGGGUCAAAGUGCUCCACUACCACCGCCUCCCAGUGAUUGCCUGUACCAUGAGGCGAAGUUUCCAAUCUCACGGCACGCGAAGUACGUACUAAUCGAUUGCCUGGGACCAGUGGUACCCACCUCCAUACUUUACGGCUUGAAAUCCGCCACUGCGGACAGUGGGAAGACGAAACGACACAGCACCCAGCAGGAAGAACCACCCACGGAGGGUGGUGAUGAGAAAGCAGGGGAGGAGCCGAAGUCUCAGUUCCUGGAACUCCUGGUUAUCGUGCAGAACAACACGCGGUUGAAGGAGAAGAUGGCCAAGACGGCCAUGCCGCAAAUCAAGACUUUCCCAGUGAUGAUCUCCGGCGGCUAUCAUGCCCAGGUCCGACUAUAUCUGCCGCCCGUGCUGCGCGAGGACGAGAUAACACGGUAUCCCACCAUUCUGCAUGUGUACUCCGGACCCGGCAGUCAGCUGGUCACCGAUCACUGGCACGUCGAUUGGAACACCUAUCUGUCCGGCAGCAAGGAUUACAUUGUCGUUGAGAUCGACGGACGGGGAUCUGCCGGUCAGGGCUACCAGCUGCUCCACGAGGUCUACAAGCGUCUGGGCAGCGUGGAGGUCUCCGAUCAACUGGAGGUCAGUGAGUACCUCAGGGAUAACCUGCACUUCAUCGACUCACGCAGAAUGGGCGUCUGGGGCUGGAGUUACGGAGGAUACACAGCUGCAUUGGCCCUAGCCGGGCAGCAGUCCAUUUUCCAGUGCGGCAUCAGUGUGUCACCGGUUACCAACUGGAAGUUAUAUGAUUCCACGUAUGCGGAACGCUAUCUGAGUUUCCCCAACGUGACUGACAACUACAAGGGCUACGAGGAGAGUGACCUGUCCAAGUACGUGGACAACCUGCGGGAUCGCCAGUUCCUGCUGGUCCACGGAACCGCCGACGACAAUGUCCAUGUGCAGCAAUCCAUGGUCCUGGCCCGUUCUCUGACCAGCAAGGGAGUGCUCUAUAAGCAGCAGAUAUAUCCGGAUGAGGGGCAUAGCCUUUCGGGGGUUAAGCGGCACUUGUACCGCUCGAUGACCGCCUUCUUUGAGGAUUGUUUCAAGAAACUGGUGCCGCCGGAGUCGAAAGCUGGUCUGGGCAAUGGCGGCGAUAUGCAACAGCAAUAAACUUAAGUUAUGGCAGCAGGAAAUUCUGAUAACAAAAGUAUGAUGGAACACAGCAAACUUCAACCGGAACGUGCGAACGAAAUGUUUUUCUGUAAAUUGCAUUCAAUGUGAUUUAUCAUGAACACACCCACGACACUCACAAACACAGCAAGCGGCUAAAUGGCAACUCAAAUAGCCAAACGGCGGCGGCGACGGCAAGAAAAAAAGCAACAACUAAGUUAAAUGGCAUUUUGUGUAAAAUUAAUAAGCAAAGCAGCAGCAGGGAAAUGCGAAAUGCCAAGUAAGUGUGCCCAAAAAGGAGCAUAAACAAACAAAUGUAUAUGUAUGCGGACAAAGCGGACAAAAUCAACAUGGUUGUGAAAACAUAACUCACACACACAAGCACACAGCAGACCCCGACUCACACAGACACGACACACACACACACAAGCACGCAGAGAGAGCGCGCAUAAAGCCUUACCGUAAACUAAAUGGGAAAUUCUAAGAACGAACAUAGUAACUCAAUAACUCCUAGAGAGCUCAGAUGGCCAAUGGGCAGAGAUGGAAAUCUAUCCUAACCAACGAAAUCGAAUACAAGUUGUUAGUUAUGUUGUUUGAUGUAAAUAAGCUUUAAGGUGGCUAGCUCAAUUCAAUUACUUUGUUUACUCCUUUCGUUAAAGAGUGUUUGGAAAUUAAUUACUUAAGCCGAAUUACUUACUUAAGCGAAAACAAAACCUUUGUGAUCCAACAAGUUUCUUCUCUUCCAUGAAGCAAAACCAAACUAACCAAUAUAAUAAUAUGAAUUUAAAAUUAAUAUGUAAUUACAUUGACUUAAUUAGCUGAGACGUUCAAUAAUUUCGCCUGGCAUUUAGUAAUGGAAAUCGUGAAAAGCGGAAAUACCUAAAAUAUAUAUGAAAGCAUGAAGCCAAAAAGCAA